AUGAGAAUAGUGUCGCGUACACGGUGCCGAUAAUAUUCGUUAGGUUCGUGUGUUCAUUAUUAUUUAUCGUGCGUAAUUGUGAUAAAACGCGAGCCGUGUUUGAUAUUUUAUCGCACAACGUUUAACUAAAUCUCGUACGAGAAAACAGUUGAAGAGUCUAAUUCGAUAAUCGUAACGUGUCUCGCCCAAGCAACGAUCGCGAAACGACCAAGAGAAAGAGAAAAAGAGGCACACUCUGUUUGCGUAUGGUUUUUAAAUUGCAUGGACAGUUUCGUUCCGCCGCACACCGUGUUCCUAGUGUGAAACCCCAUUCGUUGGUAUGACGAAAUGAGACGCGUUUCGUUUCGUUCUUGUGCAUCGUGAAACUCAUGGGCAAACUAUAUGUCCCGAGCAGUGUGUAGCGGGUGAAAUCUAGUUUCCGUUGAAAGGCUCGUGAACGGUGCGCGGACACAACCAACGACGUGCGUUCAGAGGCCCACCAUGGCGGUGAAUCCGCGUGAUAUGGACGGUUUUAUGCCGCUCCUGUCAACGACGGAUAUCAAGAAAAAGUUGAACGUUGGUUAUUUGCUGCUUAAUUAUUUGGGCGACGAGAGCAAGAGCAUCGAAUGUCAAGACAUCGGACUAUUUAUCGACAACAUCAUACCAUGGCUUAGCAACGGCAAUCCCAAGGAAUCUUGACUUGUUAAGAUCUAUCCGUUAACUUUAUUAUAGUGCAUAAUAGAUGUAUGUGGUAAAUACUUUUAAAACCUCGGCCUACGUUCGUCUCUGUUUUAACUCCAAAGAAGAAAAGGAAAGAAACGAUUCGAUUUUGCUUUUGAAGAACCAGAAUCGCAACAAUCAAACAAAAUGAGAAUUUUACAGGUUAUCAUCUAUAGCAUAUGACUAUUAAUAACUGUUAAAUGAUUUAGGAGAAAAGAAAAGAAACAGUUCAACAUAUGACUCAUUUUAAAAUGUAGUCAAAACACAAGAGAGUUGAUUUACCUGACAAUGAUAUUACAAAUUGCAAAAUUCGUGUAAGAGGACAUAAACGAUGGUGGCCUUUGUAUAUAAAUUUGAUUGAUUGUCUCAUCGUGGAUUCAUGGAAAAUAUAUAAUUCGUGAAGGCAGCGCACAUGUCACAGUUGCAAUUUUCAUCUUAGUUACGAUCAAAGUAGAAGUCUAAACUGUACCAAAAUGGUCUCGAGAUGAUAAACAAAGAGGCACCUAGCAAAGAAGUUGGUAACCAAGAGAGAGAAAAUAUUUGAAUUAUGACUGUCAUUCGAAACUGCACUACCGAUAGAGUACAUUAUAACCAUAUAAGACAUGUUACAGCAGAUGAAAGAAAAGCAAAAAGUUGAAAUAUGUUUGAAAAAAUAUUAAAUUAUCAUACCUAGAGAUAAUCAGUGACGUAAUUGAAAACAUUUAUAACAAAGGCUUACGUCAAUGAAUAUUAAAUUUGUUUGUUCAACCAAAAUAGUGGUAACGCAUUUAAAAUUUUUCUCAAAGUCGAAAUGAAACAUCACCUAAAAAUUUUGUGUUCUUCUUUAAAUAAUUCUUUGUGUAAAAAUCGCAUUCUCUGCUUGAUCCUUAAUGGGUUAAGUGUUCUUCUUAUGAAUGGAUACAGUAUACUAUGUAAACAAACUUGUAUAAAGUGCCUUUUGUUUCUCGCAUUUAUUAUAGUUGAGAAACCCGUGGCCAAACAAAAAUAUAUACAAGAAACGAACGAUGAUUUUCUUGCAUAGAUUGAACAAUAGAAAUCGUUGAAGUCAUUAAGCAUAAAAUGGAUAAAGAGCCCAUGUAUGUGGUAGCAAGAUGUACCGGGUGACAAACUGGUUGGAUUGUAUGUGUUUGAGCAGCGGUACUCAUUUAUUGAAUUUUAUUAUUUGUCCAUGGUGGAGAAUGAAAACGUUAAGGGGUUACAGGCUUUUUCAAGAAUUCUUAUUGAAGUGAUACCAAGAUUUUAUUUAUAUUGAAGUACAUUAAUGUAUUGUAUAAGUAUUAAACUAGAAAAUCAUUUUUUUUUUUUUUUCAUUUUUACGAAAAUGACUUGACAGAUGAUUUAGUGAAGCGUCUAACAAAUAAAUGGUUUUGGGGUAGGAACAAUAACUCAAACCAGGUUCAAACUAGAAUUGUGAAACAAAAUUAAUUGUUUUCCUUAGUCUAAAAGCUAGUGAAAUACAUAACCGUUUUUAAAAAUGUA